GCCCUGGUGGCGGAACUGGUAGACGCGCUAGAUUCAGGUUCUAGUGAGCAUUACGCUCGUGGAGGUUCGAGUCCUCUCCAGGGCACCA
rnacentral:tRNA from 1 species